GUGUUCGCUUCGGCAGCACAUAUACGAAAAUUGGAACGAUACAGAGAAGAUUA
rnacentral:snRNA from 1 species